GCCUACGGCCAUACCAUGCUGAACGCACCUGAUCUCGUCUGAUCUCGGAAGCUAAGCAGGGUCGGGCCUGCUUAGUACUUGGAAGGGAGAAAAUGUGGAAAAGAAACACCUUAUAUU
rnacentral:rRNA from 1 species